UACGUAGGGUGCAAGCGUUGUCCGGAAUUAUUGGGCGUAAAGAGCUCGUAGGCGGUUCGUCGCGUCGGCUGUGAAAUCCCGAGGCUCAACCUCGGGUCUGCAGUCGAUACGGGCGGACUGGAGUACUGCAGGGGAGACUGGAAUUCCUGGUGUAGCGGUGAAAUGCGCAGAUAUCAGGAGGAACGCCGGUGGCGAAGGCGGGUCUCUGGGCAGUUACUGACGCUGAGGUGCGAAAGCGUGGGGAGCAAACAGG
rnacentral:rRNA from 1 species